UUGCAAUAAAAAUAAAUCUACUAAAAUUGGAAUAAUACAGAGAAGAUUAGCAUGGUCUCUACGCAAGGAUGACACGCAAAUUUGUGCAGCAUUGCAUAUUUUU